rnacentral:lncRNA from 1 species
AUUUUCUGAGAGGACACAUGAUGCACUCAGACUUGAAUGCAAGUCUUGCUUCCUCCUGACAUUUCAUCAAUCUCUAUGCAAAUGCUGACUGGCCCUACCUAAAACUUUGAGCUGAAAAUGGAAGACAGUAAGAGAAAAGAUCUAUGCAUAGAGAGGAGAAAAAGAAAACAGGAGAAACAGAAAAUCACAGAAAAGGAAAGGGAAGAUUUGGUGUGAAUCUGGGCAAUCCUACCAGGGAGAAAUCCAAGGUCAAAGUAAAACAAUGACUUAUAAUGAGAAACAGGAAGACUACACAGCAUACUGGAGCAGCACUUUAUUGAUAGUCUAAGAAAGAAAACAUUGUGAACUUUACCCAGUUGUUUGCAGCUUUGGCCCUUCCAUACAAGUUUUCUGAGGUCAGAGAUUAUGCUUAUUCAUGACUACAUCCCUCAAGGUGGCUUAUAGUGUGUGCGAGUGAGGCAUAUCAGCAAGCACUUGUUGAAUGAACAGCCUAAAACCUCAGUCAUCAUUCAAUCCAUGGAACCAGACUUAUAUUUAGAUCAGCCAGACAUAGAACUGUUGCUCCAUGAAGGAAUUCCAUUGACACAUCUUCGUUUUCAUCUAGCCACUGC